rnacentral:rRNA from 1 species
UACGGGGGGGGCUAGCGUUGUUCGGAAUUACUGGGCGUAAAGGGCGCGUAGGCGGUCUGCUAAGUUGGAUGUGAAAACUCUGGGCUUAACCCAGAGCCUGCAUUCAAUACUGACAGGCUAGAGUUCUGGAGGGGAUAGCGGAAUUCCUGGUGUAGCGGUGAAAUGCGUAGAUAUCAGGAGGAACACCGGUGGCGAAGGCGGCUAUCUGGACAGAGUCUGACGCUGAGGCGGCGAAAGCUAGGGGAGCAAACAGG